rnacentral:rRNA from 1 species
GACGAACGCUGGCGGCGUGCUUAACACAUGCAAGUCGAACGAUGAAGCCCUUUCGGGGGUGGAUUAGUGGCGAACGGGUGAGUAACACGUGGGUAACCUGCCCUGUACCCUGGGAUAAGCCUUGGAAACGAGGUCUAAUACCGGAUAUGACCUGCUCUCGCAUGGGGGUGGGUGGAAAGUUUUGGCGGUGCAGGAUGGACCCGCGGCCUAUCAGCUUGUUGGUGGGGUGAUGGCCUACCAAGGCGACGACGGGUAGCCGGCCUGAGAGGGCGACCGGCCACACUGGGACUGAGACACGGCCCAGACUCCUACGGGAGGCAGCAGUGGGGAAUAUUGCACAAUGGGCGAAAGCCUGAUGCAGCGACGCCGCGUGAGGG